UGGAGAGAAACCACAGUAAAAAUGAAUCAGUAAUCUUUAUCCUUAACAUUGAUCUAAUUCAUACUUUAAGGGUAAUUUUGUGAAUUGGGCAUUGUCAUGUUUGGAUUUACUUGAAAUUACGCUUUAACUUACUAUAAGUUUGCAGUACAUAUUGUAUUUGCUGGUUCAAUGAUGAUUGUUUACUGUGAAUAUUUGAUUUGAGUGACGACUUUAAACUCGCGCAGUACAUUUGUAAAAUUCUGGUUUUUAUUUUUACAACUAAACUCAAAUGAAAAUUUAAAAAGCCAGAAUCAAUUUUUUUAAUGCUAAUACGUACUUUCAUUAGGUACAAAAAGAUAGUCCUAAGUUUUCAAAGUUAGAGUAAAAAUGUUUUUAUAGAUAAAUCCUGUUUUGACAUAAUUUUUCUACACUUUAGGGGAUUGUAGUAGUAGUUUCAAGUUGCCUCAAUAGUCAAUAUUAACGAUUCAGAGCGGUACUUUAUAAACCUUUGCCUCAUCACAAACAAAUGAGAAAUUAAUUUAUUUAUUUUUUUAAAUAUUAUUUUUCAUUGUUGUUUCUCAAUAGAAGUAACUCGUGGAUUUCUGCUAAUAAAGAAACAAUGUAGCAAAUUGUCAGGAUUGAACACUUUCAUAGCUUGAAAAUCUACAAUUGCCAUGGAGGGUCACUUGACAUUACAACGACAGUGACUGACACCACACUUUAUCAUCUUAGUUUACUGAAUUAUAUUUUCAAUAAACAUGGGACAACCAACCCAUCCUUGUAUUAGAAUUACGUACCAGCACCACAUGUCUAAUACACGAUGUAGAUACCCUUAAUUGUACAACACUUUAACAUGCUGUAAAUCUUAAAACUUCGUUAUUAUCAUAUUAGUGUACAGUGUACAUUUUCAAUACAGUGAUUAUCAGAAAAUAGUGGAAUGACGACAAUAAUUCUGCCAUUAAUUACUAAUUAUUGAACAAAUGUUUUACUUGUUUCAAUGUUUCCAAGAUUUUGAAUUUUAGAAAAUAAAUGUUUGAAAAUCCGA